rnacentral:lncRNA from 1 species
GUUUGACAACACAAUUUAGAUGGAUUCGUUUUCAUGUGCUUUAUUAGUGCAUAUCACAGUAUUUGUUGUAUGUGUGUCUUAAUGCUUUCCAAGUAAUUCUUACUAUACAUAUAAUGUACAACACAAUGGUUGUAUGUGUCUCCAUGUUGUCUGAAUAGCACAUAUAGGUUGUGUUGUUGCUUUUGUGCUUCAGGUAGCUAGCAGGUGCUUGUGUAUUUCUGGCAAACUACCUGCAUGCGUUCUCCAGACAAGCUCCAGGUCCAAGGAAUUGUAGGCAGCUAUCAGGUGCUUCUGUGUUUCAGGCAGAAGACAUGUUUAUUUGACUACCAUAGAUAUGAGGGAAAACAGUGUGAUUCAUGAUCAUGUUGGAAAAGGGGGAAAAUAGAAAUUGUAUAAUUUGUCGGAGAAUAGGAAGAAGAAUUGGUACAAAUAUAGCUGUUUUCGGAUAGAAGGUGCAGCCUAUAUAAUUUGACUCCCGAAGUGACUGGCAAACCAUUAAGGAAGAAUUCAGGGUUGUGUUGUAUAGGUUGAGGAGGUUGUGAUUAACUGAAAAAUAAAUGGUAUGUGUACCUAAAUAUUCAUGAUGGAGGAACAUAUGUAAAUUUAGGUGAAGAAUUUUUUUGAUACUAAACACGGUGUGUGUGUGUCUAUGUACAUAUAUGUGUACGAAGUGCACAUGGAAUUGUUUACGUAUUAGCAUAAGUGGACAUAUACAUGGUGUGAGUGAUGAUUUGUACUUUUUUCAUUGAAGAUCAUAUUUGAAAGGAAAAAACAGUAAUUGUAUAAUUUGUUGAAGAACAUGAAGAAGAAUUGGUAGAGCAUACCUGUUGUUCGGAUAGAAGCUGCAGGCUAUGUAAUUUGAUUCCUGAAGAUUCCAAGCAGUUAGUGACUGGCAAAAAAACAGUAGUGGAGAAUUCAGGUUUAUGUUAUAUAGGUUGAGGGGGUUUUGAAUAAUAAAAAAAUAAAUGGUGCGUGUACACAGAUAUUCAUGGUGGAGGAACAUUUACAAUUUUAGAGGAAGAAUCUUUUUUGACGCUAAACAUGGUGUUUUUGUAUCUAUGUACAUAAAUGGGUACGGAGGAACAGAAUGUAGUGUUCUAGAUGGAGGACUUUAUUAUUUCACAAUGUAAAUAAACAUGAUAUAUGUGGUAUGAACCUUGGAUGCAUUUUAAGUUAACU